AAUAAGAUGUAACUAGGGUCCCAUCUAGGAUUCACAAAGCACAAACCCCCACCCCCACCCCAAAGAGAUCUGCCCAUCUACGUGUCCUUGUGAGAUCCAAGGCCACCCUCUAAGGUGAUGUAUCCAAGGCUACCGAUUCAAUGAAGAACCAAGUCCUCCUUCCUAGGAGUUGCUACAAGACCUCCCUAUCUUAGGAUUUGGAGAAGAGACCCCUACCUUGUGCAUCCCUUUUUCUCUGUUUCAUUGUUGGUUUGGAUCAACUUGUCCGUUGAGUAAAUAAUUUGGUGUUUAUGAGUUAGGCUUCACGAGAUGUUCCCUUGUUUCUUCAUGUUCCACCACCCCCGGUGUUCUUUGUGUUCUUCUCCUCCCGCUCCACCCCCAAUUUUUUAAGCUCUCAGAACCGAGCUGUAACAAGCCACAUCAGGACGGCCCUAGGGCAGGAAAAAGGCACCCAUGUAAGCCCUCACAUUUGGGGUCUCCGAUUCGUGCACAUGCGAGAAAGAUAUUAGAAUAUGGUGUAUUGCAUGUGAAUGAUUUGUAUGAUCUGCUUGAGGAGGUACAACACGAUGUAAGUUGUUUUUUGUAAUGGGCAUAACUCAUGGAGUGUAAAAGUUUGGGGGUAAUGUAUUUUCUGUUUUGUGGAAAGUUGGGUUAGCGGAGUUCGGAGGCUGGUUUUGUACCUUGUUCUACGUGUUAUUGGCUGAUGUUUUUUUUUCAUUUUUUAUAUUUUCUUUUAAUGUGUGCCAAGCACUCCUGGAACACCCAUUUUGUCUUUGUUUUUAUUUAUUCAACAUUUUGUCUUUGUUUUUAUUUAUUCAACAUCAACAAUUUGCAUUUCUUGCUAGCAUGUGCCAAGCACUACUACAAUAUAUACCCAUCACUUUACUUUAGUUCAUUGUUUAUUUGGCAAUCGACAGUGGAGCUCCGACCAUGUGUUUGCUUGUGUAUGCAAACAAAACAAGUUCAAAUACCUUGUAAUAGGAACACACAAUAUAGAAAAUUAU
rnacentral:lncRNA from 1 species